GCUUCUUUUUCCCCGGAGCUUGCUCCACCGGAAAAAGAAGAGUGGCGAACGGGUGAGUAACACGUGGGUAACCUGCCCAUCAGAAGGGGAUAACACUUGGAAACAGGUGCUAAUACCGUAUAACAAUCGAAACCGCAUGGUUUUGAUUUGAAAGGCGCUUUCGGGUGUCGCUGAUGGAUGGACCCGCGGUGCAUUAGCUAGUUGGUGAGGUAACGGCUCACCAAGGCCACGAUGCAUAGCCGACCUGAGAGGGUGAUCGGCCACAUUGGGACUGAGACACGGCCCAAACUCCUACGGGAGGCAGCAGUAGGGAAUCUUCGGCAAUGGACGAAAGUCUGACCGAGCAACGCCGCGUGAGUGAAGAAGGUUUUCGGAUCGUAAAACUCUGUUGUUAGAGAAGAACAAGGAUGAGAGUAACUGUUCAUCCCUUGACGGUAUCUAACCAGAAAGCCACGGCUAACUACGUGCCAGCAGCCGCGGUAAUACGUAGGUGGCAAGCGUUGUCCGGAUUUAUUGGGCGUAAAGCGAGCGCAGGCGGUUUCUUAAGUCUGAUGUGAAAGCCCCCGGCUCAACCGGGGAGGGUCAUUGGAAACUGGGAGACUUGAGUGCAGAAGAGGAGAGUGGAAUUCCAUGUGUAGCGGUGAAAUGCGUAGAUAUAUGGAGGAACACCAGUGGCGAAGGCGGCUCUCUGGUCUGUAACUGACGCUGAGGCUCGAAAGCGUGGGGAGCAAACAGGAUUAGAUACCCUGGUAGUCCACGCCGUAAACGAUGAGUGCUAAGUGUUGGAGGGUUUCCGCCCUUCAGUGCUGCAGCUAACGCAUUAAGCACUCCGCCUGGGGAGUACGACCGCAAGGUUGAAACUCAAAGGAAUUGACGGGGGCCCGCACAAGCGGUGGAGCAUGUGGUUUAAUUCGAAGCAACGCGAAGAACCUUACCAGGUCUUGACAUCCUUUGACCACUCUAGAGAUAGAGCUUCCCCUUCGGGGGCAAAGUGACAGGUGGUGCAUGGUUGUCGUCAGCUCGUGUCGUGAGAUGUUGGGUUAAGUCCCGCAACGAGCGCAACCCUUAUUGUUAGUUGCCAUCAUUUAGUUGGGCACUCUAGCAAGACUGCCGGUGACAAACCGGAGGAAGGUGGGGAUGACGUCAAAUCAUCAUGCCCCUUAUGACCUGGGCUACACACGUGCUACAAUGGGAAGUACAACGAGUCGCGAAGUCGCGAGGCUAAGCUAAUCUCUUAAAGCUUCUCUCAGUUCGGAUUGUAGGCUGCAACUCGCCUACAUGAAGCCGGAAUCGCUAGUAAUCGCGGAUCAGCACGCCGCGGUGAAUACGUUCCCGGGCCUUGUACACACCGCCCGUCACACCACGAGAGUUUUAACACCCGAAGUCGGUGAGGUAACCUUUGGAGCCAGCC
rnacentral:rRNA from 1 species